UACGGAGGGUGCAAGCGUUGUCCGGAAUUAUUGGGCGUAAAGAGCUCGUAGGCGGUUUGUCGCGUCGAAUGUGAAAACCCGGGGCUCAACCCCGGGCCUGCAUUCGAUACGGGCAGACUAGAGUUCGGUAGGGGAGUCUGGAAUUCCUGGUGUAGCGGUGAAAUGCGCAGAUAUCGGGAAGAACACCCGUGGCGAAGGCGGCUCUCUGGGACGGUACUGACGCUGAGACGCGAAAGCGUGGGGAGCGAACAGG
rnacentral:rRNA from 1 species